rnacentral:rRNA from 1 species
GCCAUCGGCCAUACCCUGCUGAAGACGCCGGUUCUCGUCCGAUCACCGAAGCUAAGCAGCAUUGGGCUUGGUCAGUACUUGGUAGUAAGACCACUUGGGAACACCAAGUGCUGAUGGCA